CCGGCGGGGACAAGCGGAGGAGAAGCGGCCCCUCCUCUGCAGCCCGGGCAGGGCUGCGCUACCGGCUCCCGCCUUUCCCGACAGCAUAAGAGAUGUGCAGAUCCAGGCAAAAUACAAAACACCAGCGCGUGGAUCCCUGCCUCCCAUUCCUCAUCACUCAGAGCAUUCUUCGGGAUCUGAAUCCGGGUCCUUUCGGGGUUCAUGCUCCAUCCUGGGACUCCACAUCUCCAGCCCGUGGCAGCUGCUGCUGUGCAGCUCGUGUGGCUCCCAGGGGACCCACCGCUGC